UGCAGUCGAACGAUGAUCUCCAGCUUGCUGGGGGGAUUAGUGGCGAACGGGUGAGUAACACGUGAGUAACCUGCCCUUAACUCUGGGAUAAGCCUGGGAAACUGGGUCUAAUACCGGAUAUGACUCCUCAUCGCAUGGUGGGGGGUGGAAAGCUUUUGUGGUUUUGGAUGGACUCGCGGCCUAUCAGCUUGUUGGUGAGGUAAUGGCUCACCAAGGCGACGACGGGUAGCCGGCCUGAGAGGGUGACCGGCCACACUGGGACUGAGACACGGCCCAGACUCCUACGGGAGGCAGCAGUGGGGAAUAUUGCACAAUGGGCGCAAGCCUGAUGCAGCGACGCCGCGUGAGGGAUGACGGCCUUCGGGUUGUAAACCUCUUUCAGUAGGGAAGAAGCGAAAGUGACGGUACCUGCAGAAGAAGCGCCGGCUAACUACGUGCCAGCAGCCGCGGUAAUACGUAGGGCGCAAGCGUUAUCCGGAAUUAUUGGGCGUAAAGAGCUCGUAGGCGGUUUGUCGCGUCUGCCGUGAAAGUCCGGGGCUCAACUCCGGAUCUGCGGUGGGUACGGGCAGACUAGAGUGAUGUAGGGGAGACUGGAAUUCCUGGUGUAGCGGUGAAAUGCGCAGAUAUCAGGAGGAACACCGAUGGCGAAGGCAGGUCUCUGGGCAUUAACUGACGCUGAGGAGCGAAAGCAUGGGGAGCGAACAGGAUUAGAUACCCUGGUAGUCCAUGCCGUAAACGUUGGGCACUAGGUGUGGGGGACAUUCCACGUUUUCCGCGCCG
rnacentral:rRNA from 1 species